rnacentral:rRNA from 1 species
GGCCCUUGUGGUUGUAAAGCUCUGUCAGCAGGGAAUAACGCCGAAUAGCGAAUAACUAUCCGGUCUGAACGUACCUGCAGAGGAAGCUCCGGCUAACUCCGUGCCAGCAGCCGCGGUAAUACGGAGGGAGCGAACGUUGUUCGGAUUCACUGGGUGUAAAGGGUGCGUAGGCGGCUCAGUGUGUCAGAAGUGAAAUCUGCCGGCUCAACCGGACAAAUUGCUUCUGAAACUGCUGGGCUUGAGUCCGGAAGAGGAAGGUGGAAUUCCUGGUGUAACGGUGAAAUGUGCAGAUAUCAGGAAGAACACCGGUGGCGAAGGCGGCCUUCUGGUCCGGUACUGACGCUGAGGCACGAAAGCUAGGGUAUCGAACGGGAUUAGAUACCCCGGUAGUCCUAGCCGUAAACGAUGUCCACUAGGUGUUGGAGGUUCUACCCCUUCAGUGCCGGAGCUAACGUUUUAAGUGGACCACCUGGGGAGUACGCUCGCAAGGGUGAAACUCAAAGGAAUUGACGGGGGCCCGCACAAGCGGUGGAGCAUGUGGUUUAAUUCGAUGCAACGCGAAGAACCUUACCGGGGCUUGACAUCCAGGGGACAGGUGUAGAGAUACACCCUCCUUCGGGUCCUUGGACAGGUGCUGCAUGGCUGUCGUCAGCUCGUGUCGUGAAAUGUUGGGUUAAGUCCCGCAACGAGCGCAACCCUUGCCCUUAGUUGCCAGCAYGU